rnacentral:rRNA from 2 species
AGAGUUUGAUCCUGGCUCAGGAUGAACGCUGGCGGCGUGCCUAAUACAUGCAAGUCGAGCGAACGGACGAGAAGCUUGCUUCUCUGAUGUUAGCGGCGGACGGGUGAGUAACACGUGGAUAACCUACCUAUAAGACUGGGAUAACUUCGGGAAACCGGAGCUAAUACCGGAUAAUAUUUUGAACCGCAUGGUUCAAAAGUGAAAGACGGUCUUGCUGUCACUUAUAGAUGGAUCCGCGCUGCAUUAGCUAGUUGGUAAGGUAACGCGGCUUACCAAGGCAACGAUGCAUAGCCGACCUGAGAGGGUGAUCGGCCACACUGGAACUGAGACACGGUCCAGACUCCUACGGGAGGCAGCAGUAGGGAAUCUUCCGCAAUGGGCGAAAGCCUGACGGAGCAACGCCGCGUGAGUGAUGAAGGUCUUCGGAUCGUAAAACUCUGUUAUUAGGGAAGAACAUAUGUGUAAGUAACUGUGCACAUCUUGACGGUACCUAAUCAGAAAGCCACGGCUAACUACGUGCCAGCAGCCGCGGUAAUACGUAGGUGGCAAGCGUUAUCCGGAAUUAUUGGGCGUAAAGCGCGCGUAGGCGGUUUUUUAAGUCUGAUGUGAAAGCCCACGGCUCAACCGUGGAGGGUCAUUGGAAACUGGAAAACUUGAGUGCAGAAGAGGAAAGUGGAAUUCCAUGUGUAGCGGUGAAAUGCGCAGAGAUAUGGAGGAACACCAGUGGCGAAGGCGACUUUCUGGUCUGUAACUGACGCUGAUGUGCGAAAGCGUGGGGAUCAAACAGGAUUAGAUACCCUGGUAGUCCACGCCGUAAACGAUGAGUGCUAAGUGUUAGGGGGUUUCCGCCCCUUAGUGCUGCAGCUAACGCAUUAAGCACUCCGCCUGGGGAGUACGACCGCAAGGUUGAAACUCAAAGGAAUUGACGGGGACCCGCACAAGCGGUGGAGCAUGUGGUUUAAUUCGAAGCAACGCGAAGAACCUUACCAAAUCUUGACAUCCUUUGACAACUCUAGAGAUAGAGCUUUCCCCUUCGGGGGACAAAGUGACAGGUGGUGCAUGGUUGUCGUCAGCUCGUGUCGUGAGAUGUUGGGUUAAGUCCCGCAACGAGCGCAACCCUUAAGCUUAGUUGCCAUCAUUAAGUUGGGCACUCUAAGUUGACUGCCGGUGACAAACCGGAGGAAGGUGGGGAUGACGUCAAAUCAUCAUGCCCCUUAUGAUUUGGGCUACACACGUGCUACAAUGGACAAUACAAAGGGCAGCGAAACCGUGAGGUCAAGCAAAUCCCAUAAAGUUGUUCUCAGUUCGGAUUGUAGUCUGCAACUCGACUACAUGAAGCUGGAAUCGCUAGUAAUCGUAGAUCAGCAUGCUACGGUGAAUACGUUCCCGGGUCUUGUACACACCGCCCGUCACACCACGAGAGUUUGUAACACCCGAAGCCGGUGGAGUAACCUUUUAGGAGCUAGCCGUCGAAGGUGGGACAAAUGAUUGGGGUGAAGUCGUAACAAGGUAGCCGUAUCGGAAGGUGCGGCUGGAUCACCU